rnacentral:rRNA from 1 species
AUUGAACGCUGGCGGCAUGCCUUACACAUGCAAGUCGAACGGUAACAGGCCGCAAGGUGCUGACGAGUGGCGAACGGGUGAGUAAUACAUCGGAACGUGCCCGAGAGUGGGGGAUAACGGAGCGAAAGCUUUGCUAAUACCGCAUACGAUCUACGGAUGAAAGCAGGGGACCGCAAGGCCUUGCGCUCAUGGAGCGGCCGAUGGCAGAUUAGGUAGUUGGUGGGAUAAAAGCUUACCAAGCCGACGAUCUGUAGCUGGUCUGAGAGGACGACCAGCCACACUGGGACUGAGACACGGCCCAGACUCCUACGGAGGCAGCAGUGGGAAUUUUGGACAAUGGGCGAAAGCCUGAUCAGCCAUGCCGCGUGCAGGAUGAAGG